UUCACAAAGGCCACUGCUGUGGACUAGACCUUCAAUACUAACUCAGUGAGAAGAUCCACCUGGAACAAACUGGUGUUCAACCACUACCUUCCUCAAAGAACACAAUAUAAACGCAUCAAGUUUUGCCUCCACUGGCUCUUCAGUGGAAAAUUCUAUCACCAGCUGUUUUUCUACAUGUUAAAAUUGAAUAAUCUGAGACUAAAACCAGUCAAGCAACUCCUCCAGUUUUAAGCAUGCAUUACUCUCCUGUCACAACCAUGCCACAGAAACUGAUGAAAUACUGUGGUAUUAAACAGACUGUACCUCAAAUGAGCAAUUUUCUAGUACAAUAAAGGUGUAAGUACACCAGGUUCAGUUUAAGUACAAUUAUGUUUCAUUAUUCAAUAAGGGUUUUAUUAUUUGUAUUGUAGUGCCUACGGAUGCUAAUCGAGGUCCAGAGCCCUACUGCACCAGAUGCUAUGCAGACUGAGUAAGAAGACAGUGUCUACCCCAAAUAGCUCAUCAUGUCAUGACAAAGACCCCCAAAAAAGGCAGAUGAAAAGCAAAUUGGGGGGGGGGGAAGAGGAAGAAAGAAAACGACACAACAAGAAAGGGUAACAGGCAAACCCCGUUGCUGAAAAUAGCAUCCAGGUCCUGAGGAUGUCCUGGUAAAAGACAGGCAGCGCGGAGAUGUCUUGGGAAAGACCUCUUGGAUGGAGAAGAAAAAGCUGCUGGUCAUAUCACAGCCCUUGGAGGUGGUGGAGGAAGGCAUGCACUGGCACACUCCAUGCCAGACUAUGAGCACUGUAUGAGUCUCUGCAGGGCCUGAAGCACCCAGACUUCCUUCAGCAGCCUCAGCCCCAAUCCUAACCUGAUUGAAGGAUGGCUACUAACCCCAGCCCUGUGAGAUUAUGUCGGGCCACAAGCUACAUGGUCUCUGCACCAAUGGAACACCAUAAGGCCUCAGUGGGAAAAUGGAGGGAGUUCUAUUUUUCCUACCAAAGAACCAUGCAACAAGAGAACAUAUACAAGAUGUACAUGAAACAUGUACAAGAUAGACUGGAAAAAUGGCACAAUGGUAUCGCCUGAGUUUCAUCCAAUAUGGCCUCAGAAAAUUUACUGUAUUGACAUGUGCCAUAAUAUGUUCAAAACUAUCAAGGAGGAGGUUUCUGGAUAGUAGCAGCUCAUACCAGUUACAACCUGGUACCUAUGCAAGUAUUACUGUGCCAACUACAGGCACCUUUUGGAAACAGUGGAAGCAAGACAACAGAGCUGCCAAAACUCAACAUGCUAUUUUGAAUAGAGAUAAACAAGAACACUGUGGGGCUGAAUCCAGCUGACCCACUACACCUUUUCACAGGCAAGAAGCCAGUCAACCCACUAUGCUAACGUUUCCACUUGACCCAGGUGACUUAACAGAUAGCAACUCCAAUUAGCUCAGUCCAGCUAUUAAAGAUAUUAAAGCAUCAAAUGCAAUGCUCCCCAUUUAUUAAAGUGGCUUUGAAAAUUAAAUUGUUUCAGAUGAGAUCGACUACAGUGGAACAUAUAUAUCAGUGCACCAAAUCCUCCUCUGCAACCCAGAUUGUGAUGUGCUAAUUCAAACGCUAAAAAGACUACCUUAUUAUUCCUGUUACUCUGCAGCCCCUCCAUAACCAUGCAGAGACACAGGUAAAACCUGAGAGACACAAGGCAGGUGACAGAUAAAACCUUGUCAGCUGCUUUUGCAUUCAAAGUAUAAUUUCAAACAGUGGUUCUUAACCUUUACUCCAGCCUGCACCCCCCUUUGGUUCUCAAAAUACAUUCUUGCACCCC